GACGAACGCUGGCGGCGUGCCUAAUACAUGCAAGUAGAACGCUGAAGAGAGGAGCUUGCUCUUCUUGGAUGAGUUGCGAACGGGUGAGUAACGCGUAGGUAACCUGCCUUGUAGCGGGGGAUAACUAUUGGAAACGAUAGCUAAUACCGCAUAACAAUGGAUGACACAUGUCAUUUAUUUGAAAGGGGCAAUUGCUCCACUACAAGAUGGACCUGCGUUGUAUUAGCUAGUAGGUGAGGUAACGGCUCACCUAGGCGACGAUACAUAGCCGACCUGAGAGGGUGAUCGGCCACACUGGGACUGAGACACGGCCCAGACUCCUACGGGAGGCAGCAGUAGGGAAUCUUCGGCAAUGGGGGCAACCCUGACCGAGCAACGCCGCGUGAGUGAAGAAGGUUUUCGGAUCGUAAAGCUCUGUUGUAAGUCAAGAACGAGUGUGAGAGUGGAAAGUUCACACUGUGACGGUAGCUUACCAGAAAGGGACGGCUAACUACGUGCCAGCAGCCGCGGUAAUACGUAGGUCCCGAGCGUUGUCCGGAUUUAUUGGGCGUAAAGCGAGCGCAGGCGGUUUGAUAAGUCUGAAGUUAAAGGCUGUGGCUCAACCAUAGUUCGCUUUGGAAACUGUCAAACUUGAGUGCAGAAGGGGAGAGUGGAAUUCCAUGUGUAGCGGUGAAAUGCGUAGAUAUAUGGAGGAACACCGGUGGCGAAAGCGGCUCUCUGGUCUGUAACUGACGCUGAGGCUCGAAAGCGUGGGGAGCGAACAGGAUUAGAUACCCUGGUAGUCCACGCCGUAAACGAUGAGUGCUAGGUGUUGGAUCCUUUCCGGGAUUCAGUGCCGCAGCUAACGCAUUAAGCACUCCGCCUGGGGAGUACGACCGCAAGGUUGAAACUCAAAGGAAUUGACGGGGGCCCGCACAAGCGGUGGAGCAUGUGGUUUAAUUCGAAGCAACGCGAAGAACCUUACCAGGUCUUGACAUCCCGAUGCUAUUUCUAGAGAUAGAAAGUUACUUCGGUACAUCGGUGACAGGUGGUGCAUGGUUGUCGUCAGCUCGUGUCGUGAGAUGUUGGGUUAAGUCCCGCAACGAGCGCAACCCCUAUUGUUAGUUGCCAUCAUUCAGUUGGGCACUCUAGCGAGACUGCCGGUAAUAAACCGGAGGAAGGUGGGGAUGACGUCAAAUCAUCAUGCCCCUUAUGACCUGGGCUACACACGUGCUACAAUGGUCGGUACAACGAGUUGCGAGUCGGUGACGGCAAGCUAAUCUCUUAAAGCCAAUCUCAGUUCGGAUUGUAGGCUGCAACUCGCCUACAUGAAGUCGGAAUCGCUAGUAAUCGCGGAUCAGCACGCCGCGGUGAAUACGUUCCCGGGCCU
rnacentral:rRNA from 1 species